rnacentral:lncRNA from 1 species
UUUUUGUAUUUUUUAAUUUUUGUUUUUGAUGAAGGGCUCAUGGCCGCGAAGGCCAAAAUGCCUAAAACCCACAAAAGUUACAAUGUAGCCCUAGGUACAAGAACUGUGUUAAGUGCUUUAUAUAGUACACGUUAUAUAAGUCCUCAUAAUGGUCCUGUUGUUCCCCUCAUGUAACAGGCAAAGAAACUGAGGCUUAGAGAGGUUGAGUCACUUACUCAAGGCCCCAUCUAAUGGGUUGGGGAGUUGGAAUUCCAGCUACCUCUUGCCUGACUCCAUAGUUCUUGUUCUUCCCCAUGGUCUGCAGAAACCUGAAGGACUUGGCGGCAGGAAAAAUUUGGUGGGGAACAUGUGUCUUCUCUCUUGCCUGCUCUGAUUUCUCAGGAGCAGGACCCAGGAGGGCAUCCGAGCCUCUGGCAGCUGAACCUCUGCAAACAGCAGUCACAGUGCAUUUCUGCAGGCUCUUGGAGCUGCUCCCUCUGCCUCGGCCAGAUGCGAAUUUGUGGCUUUUCCUUCUUGGCUCCUUUCCCCAGGUUUUCAUUCCUUUUAUUCUGGGAUGGAGCUGAAAUUUUUCCAACAGGGCCCAUGGUGGACACCCAGAAGUCAGUAGGGACUCCAAAAGGAAGUUAAGGCCGGGGAAGGGGGCCAGGAAGAGGGAGACCAGCCUAAAGUACACAACACUCAAUUCUUCAUUACUCACAUGUGGCCUGACCGCUGGUGGACUGGCUCCAGGAAAAUCUGAACCCUGGGCUGAGCCUCCCCGCCGGCUGGCCAGGACAGACCUGGAUGCCCUCCACCCUCCAGCCAAACUUAUUUUUUUCAUAUCAUAGCUGCAGAAUAUUCGGACCCUCUAGUCCCAGCCGCCCAGUGAACUUGAGCUGUGUGACCUUGAGCAAAAGGCAAAAUGUUUCUGAUUUUCAGUCCCCUCAUCUGGAAAAGGAGGAGGCUGUGGGACAUGAUGAUCUUUGAAAGUCUAAUAAUGAAACAAACAGAAAACCUGUGCUUCUAAGUUGGUGAGUCUGGAAAGGUACGUCUGUUGCUUAGGAAAAAAAGUCCCAAAUCCCAAAGAGCCCCUUUUGGCAAGUGUUGUACUUAAGACAAUCCGGGCGCUGCCCCUCCUGAGGCGGGGGGGACUCGAGGACCGGCUUUAGCAGAAGUUCCUCCCGCAGAACAACUCGGACGACGACGCCUCGGAGGAUCCGGGGAGCUUUGGAGGAGGCGAUGGCGGAGCAGGGCGGGUGGCAGCGCAGGCGUGGGAGGGACAGGUGGCCCGUUCGCGUCAAGUCAGGGCGCCCCCUCCUGGGACACCUGUGCCCCGCCUAGUCCCAGGGCCCAGUCCCGGGGCAGACACUGGCCGAGCCCGGAGCCUCUUCGCGUCCCCUCCCACCCAGACCAGGCCGGCGUUUCCCCCGGGCCCCCGCGCGGCUCCGGCCCGCGGAAGUCGCGCGUUCUUUCUUUCCCCCUCGUUAGUCGAGCUGAAACCUGAUCGUGGAAAGUCUGGGGCGGGUGUCAGACCCGGCCAGCUCUGGCUCCCAGCGCCUGGGGCGAUUCCUGCUGGAGGAACCCGGGCGGGGCCCGCCAAGGGGGCAGGAGGUCGGACACCUCGGGAACAGGCCUCUUUGUCUCUGUGCGGCUUCUCCCGUGGAACAGCACCCACCUUCCUAGGCACCUGCAGACCUGUGUUCUAUAUACGUGCAAAUAGCCAGAGAUGAGGACAUCUGGACCUGGUGCCUCCCCAGGGAAGUGGCUUCCAAAUAUUCCCCCCUUUCCUGGUCAUGAGGACCUGGUAGACAGUAAAAGCAGGGCCAAUGAUCCCAGCUUCAUAUUCUUGUCUGGGACAGUCCAUUUUAACCUGGCCUACCCACUCACACUUCACUUGGAGCAAAAGUAAAAACAAUAAAACACUUUUAUGCUCGAGGAACCAGAUAAAUCCUAGUAAUUGAUCUCAGGAGAGGGAUUAUUAAGGGGCUAAGUGCAAUGCUUUCCAGAACCGGGGGUGUAAUAAGCAUGAAGCCAAACAAAUGCGCAAUUUGUUAUCUGUAUUUCAUCACUUAAUGCAUUGCAAGCAACGGGUUUGAAAAUGGCUUUUCUCCAGGAGGGGAGAAGGCACUAAAAUAGCUGUAACACAUCCAUUGACAGUUCUGUUGCUGAAAAAUGUCAUCAUUCUCCAUGGCUCACACUGUCAGCCGUGCUCAGAAGGGUCAGAAUAUUCCCACUCUGCCAUUUUUGGGGACAGAUUCCCCUCCACUUUAGCCAAUGUACAAUGCUAAAAGAGACAACUCUCAAGGUCUUUCCCGCUGUAACCCUACACUUACGAAGAAAUAACAAAGUAACCAGCAAGGAUAUCGAACUGCCCUGGACCCAUAGAUAAGAAAGGCUUUCCCUGUCCUAGACAAGAGUGAAGAAGGAAAGAUAUCAAAGAUAUCUACCGGUUCAGUUGGGUGAGACCUAAGAAUUACAGCAUCCAAAAUAAUAGCUAAUCUUUAUCAAGAUCCUACUAUCCUAUCUGCUCUUACACCUGUGGCAUCUAAUCUUAACAAUACCUGAGAAGGCAGGUGCCGUGCAAUUAUAUCCUUGGUUAUAGAUGAGGAAACUGGGUUUUAGGGAUGCUGGGUAAUCUGCUGAAGGUUGCAGAGUUACUGGCAGAGCCAGCACUCACAAUUUAAUCUAUUUAAUUUUAAAGACUUUUAACAACCUCAACUAUCAUUUAUUCUAAUAGGUAAGGAAAGUAUGCUAUGAAUUAUGGGUAAAUCCACACUGUGUCAUUCUCUUAACGAAACUUUUUUUUUUUUUCAGGCUUGGUGUACAGUUGAUGUCUAGAAUAUAUUAACAGAAGGCUGCCCUGUAGAAGUUUUGAGUUAAUGGUUUCCAUCAACGCAGGAGUGGAAGAAGCUACUGGGGAUCAGGAAUCAGAAGUCCUGGCUUUAAGCCCUAGCUUUAGCCCUCACUGGUAAUAAAAUCAAAGCAAUUGGUCUCUUUGACUUCAGUUUCUCCACUUUUAAGGUUGACCUGAUAAUACUUGCCCUGCUUGUGAAGAGCAUGUGAAAUAAUAGCUAUUCAAAUUUUUACAAAGCAC